rnacentral:rRNA from 1 species
CUGGCUCAGAACGAACGCUGGCGGCAGGCUUAACACAUGCAAGUCGAGCGCCCCGCAAGGGGAGCGGCAGACGGGUGAGUAACGCGUGGGAAUCUACCCUUGACUACGGAAUAACGCAGGGAAACUUGUGCUAAUACCGUAUGUGUCCUUCGGGAGAAAGAUUUAUCGGUCAAGGAUGAGCCCGCGUUGGAUUAGCUAGUUGGUGGGGUAAAGGCCUACCAAGGCGACGAUCCAUAGCUGGUCUGAGAGGAUGAUCAGCCACAUUGGGACUGAGACACGGCCCAAACUCCUACG